rnacentral:lncRNA from 1 species
CCUCCUCUUGGGCACUGUUCCCUUGCUCUGCUUCUGGGCCACCAUAAAGUGAACACCACGUUUCACUGCGACUCUCUGCCAUGUUUCUGCCUUGAAACCAGCUGAGUACAUACUGAGUCCUCUGAAACUCCAGUGUGGUGGCGCUCACCUGUAAUCCCAGCACUCGGGAGGCUGAGGAAGGAGAAACGCCAUGAGUUCAAAGUCAGCCUGGGCUACACAGAACUGAGCUCUGCAGAAGCAAGAUUCCUAGAACCUCUGGGCUGAGUAGUAGGCAUCCAGCUUAACCUCCCAGUUGCUUCCCCGAUCUUCUCUGCACUGCCUGCCAGCGGUUAUCUGGCUUCUUCUGAGGUUUUCCAUUGGCAAAGUAGCAAAAGCAAUCACAGAAAAUUCAAACGAAAUCCCUCAUUCACCUUGACUGCCAGGGGUUCCUUUGCAUUUUUUUGUACUAGUUUCUUGGGGAACCAUGCAAUCCAGAAUUGUCACUUAGGUCACUUCCAUCGUGACUCUUCGAUUUUUUGAGACUCAUUUACUGUCACAUCAACAAGAGCUGAAGCCAGAGUGGUUUUGGACACUACUUCACGUUCCUGUGCUGGUGGGGAGAAAAGCAACGGCAAAGCAGGUUCUUUCAAUUCCUGCAUCUUUACCUGGGAAGACUCUCUGUCAUGCUGUCAUCAUUGACUGUUUUAC